rnacentral:siRNA from 1 species
GAUCGCCACACUUGGGUUCAAAUU